UACGAGGGGGGCGAGCGUUGUUCGGAAUUAUUGGGCGUAAAGGGCGCGUAGGCGGUUUUGUAAGUCUUAUGUGAAAUCUACAGGCUCAACUUGUAGUCUGCAUGAGAAACUGCAGGGCUUGAGUAUGGGAGAGGUGAGUGGAAUUCCUGGUGUAGCGGUGAAAUGCGUAGAUAUCAGGAGGAACACCUGUGGCGAAAGCGGCUCACUGGACCAUAACUGACGCUGAUGCACGAAAGCUAGGGGAGCAAACAGG
rnacentral:rRNA from 1 species